AGUGAACGCUGGCGGUAGGCCUAACACAUGCAAGUCGAACGGCAGCACAGUAAGAGCUUGCUCUUACGGGUGGCGAGUGGCGGACGGGUGAGGAAUACAUCGGAAUCUACUUUUUCGUGGGGGAUAACGUAGGGAAACUUACGCUAAUACCUCAUACGACCUACGGGUGAAAGCAGGGGAUCUUCGCACCUUGCGCGAUUGAAUGAGCCGAUGUCGGAUUAGCUAGUUGGCGGGGUAAAGGCCCACCAAGGCGACGAUCCGUAGCUGGUCUGAGAGGAUGAUCAGCCACACUGGAACUGAGACACGGUCCAGACUCCUACGGGAGGCAGCAGUGGGGAAUAUUGGACAAUGGGCGCAAGCCUGAUCCAGCCAUACCGCGUGAGUGAAGAAGGCCUUCGGGUUGUAAAGCCCUUUUGUUGGGAAAGAAAAGCAGCAGGUUAAUACCCCGCUGUUCUGACGGUACCCAAAGAAUAAGCACCGGCUAACUUCGUG
rnacentral:rRNA from 1 species